rnacentral:lncRNA from 1 species
ACUGUCAUCCAAUAUACCUUUACAGAUUCCCCUAGGAAAAGGUGGCAAGUUUAUUUCUUCUAUGAACAGUUGGUUCAGAUUAACCCUAGCAUUUCCAAAGUUGAGAUUGUGAUUAGAUUAGAAUAUGAUAGAGAAUCCAAUCGAAAUUAACAAAAAAAUUAAGUAAAAAUAUACCGUCUAGUAAAUGAAUGUUGUGUUAACACUUCGUUACCACCACCAUGACAGCAUUUUAUAUAUAACAUUGGUCAGUGUAUUGUCUCUAUGGUUCUGAUGAGUGUUUUCUAAACAUGACCAGUGUGGCUUUGCCAAUUUCCUUCAAAUCACCACAUUUUAAUUAUGCUUUUUGGAAAGGAGAUCAGCUUUAGUUCUUCUCCUUCAUAAUUGUGUUUUAAAGGGAUUAAGAGUGAAGGAGAUACAGGAGGCCAAGUCUUAAGUGUAGGAACAAAUGAAUGGGUUAGUAAUAUCCCCAAGGUCGUCUAAGCAAGAGCAUGGAAGCUUUAUAUUCUAGUGUGCCUUAGCCACUUUGCUAAUGAAAGUCCAGUCCUGUACUUUAAGAGUUGAAAGGGGAUGUGGGGAGCAUGCAUAUAUCAACUUGCAAUGCCAAGCCAUAAAAGUAGAAAAUUUCAGUAGUACUAUGUUCUGCAGAACCUGGAAAGAGGCAAAUAAAAAGGUGGAUGUAAUGAAAAACUACUAAACAUCAGACUAAAGAAAAUAAUUUCAGUAUGAAAAGAGUUGGAAGAUAGCAUUGGCCACCGAAUUUAAUAUAACCUGAACUGGAGGCUGUCUCCAGUAAGAAGCUAUUAGGGAAGAAGGGGGCAUAGCGGGGACAGACAGCAGGGGUCUUUGCUCUGCCAGGAUUGCUCAGGUGCGGUUUAAAGUACUGUUAGCAGCCAGCUUCCCUGUGGACGAGAGGCCAUGCACUAAGAUGCUCCUAGCUGUUAGUCAUGCUGUGACGGCUUCAUGAAGGAAAGCUGGCCUUUCUGUGACUGUCUGAAGGGCACAAGCAUGGGGGAAGUUACUCUUGCUAACUGACCUCUUGUUGUCAUCUUGGUUUCCAGAGACAACAGAGAGAGCACUGGGCUCGUUUUCCUUGGGAUUGUUUGUGUGUGUGUGUUUGUCUGUUUCCCAGCAAUGGUUUUAUGGAUUGUUUCACAAACUAUCCUUUCCUGCCACAUCUUGUUGAUGUCCCAGGUCAGUAUGAUUCUUACGAUUCUUAUGCUUAAGAACCAAGAAGUCUGAAGUCGGAAAGUUGAGAUCAGCUGGUUUAUCUUUCUCCUGCUCAGCCCCCCCCCCCCAGUCCCCACUACGAUGUUCUGCCUUUGACCUCAGAAUACCAGUGGAAUAUGAGGGUCAAAAGGCGAAUUCCCACUCGACACUGAGGUGUGAAUACACCUCAGUGAGUAUCCAAGUGGACACCAAGGUAUGAAUACCUCAACGGGUAGGUCCAACCCUCCACGUUAAAGAUGUUUGAAUGCAGGAUGCUGGAAUGGUCUGGAACCUAUGGCUAGUCUUCCAUGGGAAAGACCAUAGGAGAGAGGAGGAAACAAGCCAAUCUGGAGCCAUCUGCAAUUAUAGCAAAUGAGAGAAAAGGCCAGUCGCUGUACAUAAAAAUGUACUUAUUUUUUUCUUAAUAGCUUCUCUGUGUGGUGUGUCUGAAUAUGCUUUUAGUUUCUUUGGGGGGUUCUAAUUACUCAGACAGAAUAGAUCAGUUUUAACUGGUCAGAUGGAAUUCCAGCAUCCUCUCCUGGUUCAUUCCCAUGUUCUGCCUCAGACGAAACCCCAGUUCUCACUGUGGACACUAGCCAUACCGUGGCUAAAGCCUUAAGCGCCGCCAUUGCUCACACCCAUGCGCUGAUCAGGAGGCCCGACAGCACCAGUUCUGUGAACACGGAUGAGCCCUCCGCUCCCAACAUCAGCCUGUUGGGUUUAAGGGUCUUCAGGAAUGGUGCACGAGUGUCACAGCUCCCUCUCCCCUUCAGCCAGCAUUCACUUAUCUUUAUGUUCACUCGCCAACAGAAACUGGACAACCCUUUACCACAUUCAGAAGGCUAAUCAGGAUCAGUGUUUGAGAGAAGGAUUGGCGGAGGAGCGUCCCUCCCCACCCUCCAUUUCUGUAACGUCCAUAUGAAUUUCAUGGUGUCGGGUGGUUGAACCCGCGGUCCAGUGACUACCUUGACUUCCUUUAUUCGUCGUCCAUCCCCACUCAGUGUAACUUCUUGCACUACUGUGGCUCGUUUUAUGUAAAACCAGUUAACUCUAAAAAGAAUGUGCCUAUGUAAUAAAGUCUACACACUGGCUAUCUCUGUAGAGGUGACGUUUUGUUUUAGAUGUUUUGCUGAAUAAUCUGUAAUAUCUUUUUUGAGCUAUGAAAAGGAAGUAUUAAUAAAAAAUUUAUGCAAAGUG